GUGGGGAAUAUUGGGCAAUGGUCGGAAGACUGACCCAGCCAUGCCGCGUGCAGGAAGACGGCCCUCUGGGUUGUAAACUGCUUUUAUCUGGGAAGAAAAAGGCCAUGCGUGGCAAAUUGCCGGUACCAGAUGAAUAAGCACCGGCUAACUCCGUGCCAGCAGCCGCGGUAAUACGGAGGGUGCGAGCGUUGUCCGGAUUUAUUGGGUUUAAAGGGUGCGUAGGCGGCUGAUUAAGUCAGCGGUGAAAGACUUCGGCUUAACCGGAGCAGUGCCGUUGAUACUGGUUGGCUUGAGUGUCGGAGGGGUACAUGGAAUUGAUGGUGUAGCGGUGAAAUGCAUAGAUACCAUCAGGAACACCGAUAGCGAAGGCAUUGUACUGGCCGACAACUGACGCUGAUGCACGAAAGUGUGGGGAUCGAACAGGAUUAGAAACCCCUGUAGUCC
rnacentral:rRNA from 1 species